rnacentral:tRNA from 1 species
GCAUCAGUGGUGUAACGGUAACAUUGGAGCUUCCCACGCUUGGGCCCCCCGAAUGGGGUUAACUGCUCUAGCCUCGGGUUCGACUCCCGGCUGAUGCA